CCUACGGGAGGCAGCAGUGGGGAAUUUUGGACAAUGGGGGCAACCCUGAUCCAGCCAUUCCGCGUGAGUGAAGAAGGCCUUCGGGUUGUAAAGCUCUUUCGCAAGGGAAGAAAACUUAUGAUCGAAUAAAUCAUGAGGUUGACGGUACCUUGAUAAGAAACACCGGCUAACUACGUGCCAGCAGCCGCGGUAAUACGUAGGGUGCGAGCGUUAAUCGGAAUUACUGGGCGUAAAGCGUGCGCAGGCGGUUUUUGUAAGUCGGAUGUGAAAUCCCCGGGCUCAACCUGGGAACUGCGUUCGAAACUGCAAGGCUAGAGUGUGUCAGAGGGGGGUAGAAUUCCACGUGUAGCAGUGAAAUGCGUAGAGAUGUGGAGGAAUACCAAUGGCGAAGGCAGCCCCCUGGGAUAACACUGACGCUCAUGCACGAAAGCGUGGGGAGCAAACAGGAUUAGAUACCCUGGUAGUCCACGCCCUAAACGAUGUCAACUAGUUGUUGGUAGAGUAAAAUCUAUGAGUAACGUAGCUAACGNGUGAGUUGACCGCGUGGGGAGGUACGGUCGCGAGAAGUUAAACGUUAAAGUUAAAGUUAGUAGCGUUGAGAGNGCGACGGACGACGACGAGGGAGGAGG
rnacentral:rRNA from 1 species